CACUGAAAGAAUAAGAACAUGAACAUAAGGCAGAAAGUCUCCUGGGCUACCGUCUGCAUCCCACAACUGGGAUGGGAGAAAACACCCAGAAGGGCUUUGGAAACUGGCUUCCCCAUCGUGGUCGCAGAGAGCAUCAGGGAGAUACUGCUGCGCACUUUUUUCUGCAUGGAUGGCUAUGGCCCUGCUAAGUGAUUGAAGCUCCUUUCAAAUAUUUCUUCCCCUUCCUCUUAUCAUGUCCUACAACAUGCAAUGCUGCAUCACCAUGUGACCUCAAGACCCAUCCCAAUGGCAAGCAGAACUGAUGAGCUUCCUCCUCCUCCUCAUGUUGUUCUAUGUUAGCCGCCAAAAGCAAGAGGACUGUGGACUCAAGGCAGAGGAGAAACCUGCAAUUUGUGAGCAAGGAAGGAGGCAUAAAAACUGCAAGGGGGAAGUUCACACACACACACACACACACACACACACACCAGGAUGCUGAACUGUUGAGCAAGAAUGCAACAAGACAGCAGAAGCAUGGGAAAGUUCCUAGAGGAGACAAGUGGCCAUGUGACAAGCCCAAAAGCUGUUUAAACUGAAACCUGGAUGCCACACAAUACACAGCUGGGACCAAAUCCUUGAUUCAGGAAAGCAUCUCUAUUCAGGAUAGUGUUUAAGUGUAUGCUUCAACGUGUCUUAAGCACGUGAUUAAAGUCCUAUUGUCUUCCAGAAGUUCAGCAUGUGCUUCAGUGCUUUCCUGACCCAGCAUCCAACUGAGUAGACCUUUCCCAGCAUCAGACCAUUUUCACUUGUGAAUUCAGACUAUUACCAGCAUGUAACGAUUGGUUGAGAAACACAGUCAUGCCAACCUGUGCUCAUUUACGAUCAGAUAGUACAUCUUAACCACAAUGUGCUGGCUAACUUUCCCAAGGCAGACAAUUCCCACACCAAAAUCCCCCUGACCAAAAUCCCCUCAUGCAGUUUCAAUCAGAGACUAUUUCACUAUUAUUGAUGUAAUAAAAAAAAAAAAAAAAAAAA